rnacentral:lncRNA from 1 species
UCUCUCUCACGCCUCUCUUAUUUCUCUCUCGCACCACCCUCUUAAUCUUCUUUGUCUCUCACGCAAGGCACUUCUGUUUAGCACAUACGUUUAAUUGUUUCAAUUACAUCUCAAUUGCGAAUUAGGGCUGUCGAAUUUGGGGGUUUUCAGUUCUGAGUUCAAAUUAAGACUUAUUAACUCAAACUUCUUCGACUAAUCGCUCUCUUUCUUUGUUUGUAGGUACGAUUUGAGUUACUGGGAUUCAAUAUGUGUUAAGGUAAUUCCCCCCUCUCUAUAUAUUGCUUAUUUGGGUGGUUGUCCAAUGCUCUCUAUGAUUAUUUGAGUGUUCUGUGUGCUUAUUUGGGGUUCAAUUUGAGUGCUUGUCCUAUAGUUCAAAUUAGGGCUUAUUUGAGUGCUUAUUCUAGUGCAUGUGAUAUUUAGUUUUUGGUGAAAUCACUUUUGGAAUUUUAAAGGUAUU